GACGAAGGAUCCAAGCGUUAUCCGGAUUCAUUGGGAUUAAAGGGAGCGUAGGCGGACUUAUAAGUCAGGGGUGAAAUCCUGGAGCUCAACUCCAGAACUGCCUUUGAUACUGGGAAGCUCGAGUCCGGGAGAGGUGAGUGGAACUCCGAGUGUAGAGGUGAAAUUCGUAGAUAUUCGGAAGAACACCAGUGGCGAAGGCGGCUCACUGGCCCGGUACUGACGCUGAGGUGCGAAAGCGUGGGGAGCAAACAGG
rnacentral:rRNA from 1 species